GGGGUGCUAUACAUGCAAGUCGAACGCGUUGGCCCAAUUGAUUGAUGGUGCUUGCACCUGAUUGAUUUUGGUCGCCAACGAGUGGCGGACGGGUGAGUAACACGUAGGUAACCUGCCCAGAAGCGGGGGACAACAUUUGGAAACAGAUGCUAAUACCGCAUAACAGCGUUGUUCGCAUGAACAACGCUUAAAAGAUGGCUUCUCGCUAUCACUUCUGGAUGGACCUGCGGUGCAUUAGCUUGUUGGUGGGGUAACGGCCUACCAAGGCGAUGAUGCAUAGCCGAGUUGAGAGACUGAUCGGCCACAAUGGGACUGAGACACGGCCCAUACUCCUACGGGAGGCAGCAGUAGGGAAUCUUCCACAAUGGGCGCAAGCCUGAUGGAGCAACACCGCGUGAGUGAAGAAGGGUUUCGGCUCGUAAAGCUCUGUUGUUAAAGAAGAACACGUAUGAGAGUAACUGUUCAUACGUUGACGGUAUUUAACCAGAAAGUCACGGCUAACUACGUGCCAGCAGCCGCGGUAAUACGUAGGUGGCAAGCGUUAUCCGGAUUUAUUGGGCGUAAAGAGAGUGCAGGCGGUUUUCUAAGUCUGAUGUGAAAGCCUUCGGCUUAACCGGAGAAGUGCAUCGGAAACUGGAUAACUUGAGUGCAGAAGAGGGUAGUGGAACUCCAUGUGUAGCGGUGGAAUGCGUAGAUAUAUGGAAGAACACCAGUGGCGAAGGCGGCUACCUGGUCUGCAACUGACGCUGAGACUCGAAAGCAUGGGUAGCGAACAGGAUUAGAUACCCUGGUAGUCCAUGCCGUAAACGAUGAGUGCUAGGUGUUGGAGGGUUUCCGCCCUUCAGUGCCGGAGCUAACGCAUUAAGCACUCCGCCUGGGGAGUACGACCGCAAGGUUGAAACUCAAAGGAAUUGACGGGGGCCCGCACAAGCGGUGGAGCAUGUGGUUUAAUUCGAAGCUACGCGGAAGAACCCUUACCA
rnacentral:rRNA from 1 species